rnacentral:lncRNA from 1 species
CCUUCUAAGCUUUAGUGAGGUUGACAAUUUAAUGUUGAGUUCUGAAAAUAACUUGAACAGUAGCAACAACAUCGGGAUAACUUCUUCGGAUAUACCACCCUUGCGAUAGUGUUUGUCACUAGAUUUAGUUACAGUAGGCAAUAGAAAAUAUACAAGAGAGCUAAGAAGGGUUUUUGGUGUCUCUACUAAAGACCAAUCUUUUGGAGGUCCACAUCCUAAACCCAUGGCUCCUACGGAACUAAAUUGGAAAUCUUUGUCUAAAUUGGAAAAAGAUGAGGCAUUAUGACAAAGAUCAGAUAAAAUGGAGCAGAGAGAAACAUAAUGCAGACAUGAAUC